GACGGAGGAUGCAAGUGUUAUCCGGAAUCACUGGGCGUAAAGCGUCUGUAGGUGGUUGUUUAAGUCAACUGUUAAAUCUUGAGGCUCAACCUCAAAAUCGCAGUCGAAACUAUUCAACUAGAGUAUAGUAGGGGUAAAGGGAAUUUCCAGUGGAGCGGUGAAAUGCGUAGAUAUUGGAAAGAACACCGAUGGCGAAGGCACUUUACUGGGCUAUUACUAACACUCAGAGACGAAAGCUAGGGUAGCAAAUGGGAUUAGAUACCCCAGUAGUCCUAGCUGUAAACAAUGGAUACUAGAUGUUGAACAGAUCGACCUGUGCAGUAUCAAAGCUAACGCGUUAAGUAUCCCGC
rnacentral:rRNA from 1 species